rnacentral:rRNA from 1 species
AUUGAACGCUGGCGGCAGGCCUAACACAUGCAAGUCGAACGAGUGGCGGACGGGAGUGUAAUGUGUGGGAAACUGCCUGAUGGAGGGGGAUAACUACUGGACACGGUCGCUAAUACCGCAUAACCUCAGAUGUGCCCAGAUGGGAAUCGCUAGUUGGUGGGGUAACGGCUCACCAAGGCGACGAUCCCUAGCUGGUCUGAGAGGAUGACCAGCCACACUGGAACUGAGACACGGUCCAGACUCCUACGGGAGGCAGCAGUGGGGAAUAUUGCACAAUGGGCGCAAGCCUGAUGCAGCCAUGCCGCGUGUAUGAAGAAGGCCUUCGGGUUGUAAAGUACUUUCAGCGGGGAGGCGUUACCCGCAGAAGAAGCACCGGCUAACUCCGUGCCAGCAGCCGCGGUAAUAC